GUCACAUCCUGUGCUGUAGUCAGCUUCACACCAGUCACAGAACAGACAUGAGGGCCCACACUCACCUCCUGGGGUUGCUGCUGCUUUGGCUUACAGGUGUGAAAUGUGACAUUCAGAUGACUCAGUCUCCAGACAUCCUGUCAGCAUCACUGGGAGAAAGUGUCACUAUCACAUGCCAGUCAAGUCAGAGCAUUUACAGUAAUUUAGCAUGGUAUCAGCAGAAACCUGGGGAACAUCCUAAGCUCCUGAUCUAUGCUGCAAGCAACUUGGCAGAUGGCAUCCCAUCAAGGUUCAGUGGCAGUGGAUCUGGCACACAGUAUUCUCUCAAGAUCAGCAGCCUGCAGCCUGAAGAUGUGGCAAAUUAUUACUGUCAACAGGGUUAUAGCUAUCCUCCCACAGUGAUUCAAGUCAUGACAUAA